CCGGGAGCGCUCGCCUCCUCAGAGAACAUUAGUUGACCCUGAUAGGGACCCAUAGGUGGCCAGGGUGCAGUUGGGCCCCUGAGGAACUUGCGACAAAACUCAAGCUACACAAUUAGGGUCGCAUCUAAGCGCCCACGCAAUAGGACACUUGAAAGCCAUACUGUGGUGAGUACAGCUAAGGAGCAACCAGCAUAAAAGCCGUCUGGCUGGAAUUCCCUCUGGUCGAGGGUCUAAAACCUGAGGGAAAUCUUUGCCUUUUCAAUUCUGGUUGGCACGCCUUCAGGACGACUAGAGUGAAGUAAAUUGUGCCCUGCGACCUUCCGUACCCCGUGUCCCUUUUCUCUUCUAAUGUAGGCGUGGACUCUUGAACCGGAAGAAGAACAUUUUAAUGGUUCAUAGCCCUAUUUGGAGCGGCGUACCCGCUGGAGUCGUCGAAGAACUUCGGGAUAAGCUCUUUUACUUGACCGUAUACUCAACGCUGCUUCUGCCGUAACUCGAAUAAUUCUCCAAUGGUACUGUGUGGGAAGGUGUUUCAGAGACCAGAAGGCUGUGCAAGUUGUAGGGCUGCGCAAGUUAUAAGGCUGCAUUUAAGGAUCCUAAAGGACCCAGUUUUUGCCGCUCCUCAGUAGUUUGACAUUGUAAGCUUUGUGUGUGAUUACACACUGCCUCCUGGAAAUAACCCUUAAGAGUAUGUGUUGACUUCCCUCCAUCUGGGUGUCUAGUGCAUUGACUUUUCACUGGUUAUGCCACAGUCCACGCUGACGAGUUGUGUUAUGUUUUGGCAAAAGGGUGAGAGAAUGGUGGCUCUAAUAGCAGAAAGGAUAAAGCCAGUGCAAUUUGCUAUUUUGGCACCACUUGCCAAAUAGGCCUAUGAGCUUGUUAAACAAGAUUGCCUUUUACUCUUCUGAGUUUAUGUCUCCAAAGCUGGAAAUUACUGCAAAGCAAGAACAGAACUUGACUAACCACUCCAUACGACCACAGGCAGAAGAUAGCAUUGGUACAAUUGG